rnacentral:SRP_RNA from 2 species
GCCGGGCAUGGUGGCGCAUGCCUGUAAUCCCAGCUACUAGGGGGGCUGAGGUAGGAGGAUUGCUUGAACCUGGGAGGUGGAGGUUGCAGUGAGCCGAGAUUGUGCCACUGCACUCCAGCCUGGGCAACAGAGCAAGACUCCGUCUCAA